CCGCCGAGGCGGGCGGGCUCCUCCCGCGGCUGCUGGGCCCGCCCGGCGGCGCAUGCGGCGCGGGAGGCGGGGGAAUGGCCGGACAUGGCGCUGGCGGCCGCUACGCUCCGGCGGUACCUGCUGCUCCUGGCGCAGGAGCACCUCGAGUUCCGCCUGCCGGAAAUAACAUCUUUGCUCUCACUUUAUGGUGGACAAUUCAGCAGUGAGCAGGAAAUUCGUGUAAAUUCUCCAUUUUGGAUUCUCAAUAUUCCUUCAGAAGAGAUGGCAAGGGGACUAAUGAAACGGACAGUAUGUGCAAAGUCUAUAUUUGAACUGUGGGGUCAUGGAAGAUCUGCGGGGGAGCUCUAUGCAUCUUUGAAGAACUGUCCAAUGGACAAGAUGCUUCCAUAUCUACAGUCAGACUCUACUUACAAAGUACAUAUUCAUACAUUUAAUAAAACACUGACGCAAGCGCAGAAAAUAAAAAAGAUAGAUGCCCUUGAAUUUCUGCCAUUCAAAGGAAAAGUAAACUUAAAGAAUCCAGAACACAUCUUCUGGAUUUUGGAAGAUUAUGGAAUGGACCCUAAUAAUGUUCCAGAAGAGCCUUUUCAUCUGUAUUUUGGUAGAUGGCAGAUUGCAGAUGGCCAAAGAGAACUUAUUGAGUCCUACAGCGUAAAAAAGAGACACUUUAUUGGAAAUACGAGCAUGGAUGCAUGCCUGUCUUUCAUUAUGGCAAACCAUGGGAGAGUGAAACCCAACGAUGUUGUAUAUGAUCCAUUUGUUGGAACAGGUGGCCUUCUAAUCUCUUCAGCACACUUUGGAGCAUAUGUGUGUGGCACUGAUAUAGAUUACAACACAAUCCAUGGAUUAGGCAAGGCAAGCAGAAAGAACCAGAAAUGGAGAGGGCCAGAUGAAAAUAUCAGAGCUAAUCUCCGACAGUAUGGUUUAGAGAAAUAUUACCUUGAUGCACUAGUUUCUGAUUCUUCAAGACCAAUAUGGCGAAAAGGGAUGCUGUUUGAUGCAAUCAUUACAGAUCCACCGUAUGGUAUCAGAGAAGCUACUCGCAGAACAGGUUCACCAAAGGAAACAGUUAAGUCAUCUGAAAAAAGCACAGAAAAUCAUAUCUUCGUUUCAUCCAGUUAUCACCUAAGUGACAUCUUUUUUGACCUGUUGAAGUUUGCAGCAGAAUAUCUGGUGAUGGGAGGAAGAUUAGUUUACUGGCUGCCGAUAUACAGGCCUGAGUAUGUAUUCUUGAUUUCUGAUAUACAGAAGACAUCAUUCCACGCCACCCGUGCCUGAAACUUAUUAGCAACUGUGAGCAGAUGCUUUCCAGCCACACAUCAAGGCGCCUGAUAACCAUGGAAAAGGUGAAAGAAUUCAAGAAAGCAAGAGGAAUGAAGAAACAUCCAUAUUAACUGCAUUGAACGGUUAAUGCACUUGAGGGAGUGUUGACACCGCCACUGACACCCUCCGUAAGAGAUCUUCUCUUACUGAAAAAGAUUCCUGCUAAAUAUUUAGAGUUCAUAUUCUACCAAAUUAUGCUACUCAAGAGCUUAGCUGGGGAUGUUUGACUGGCUUCCUUUCUGAAACAGGCUAAUGCCUCAUGCCCAGGCAAAUUCUAGUGCAAAUAGUCACGACAAAUUGUUUCAUGAAGAUGAUUUUUGACAACGAUUUAUCGCUGUGAAGUUAAAUGCAGCCUAUCCCUAGCGUUCAGAUUGUACCCAUUCAGCUCCCUGUGUACGUAUAAAUACCCUGCGUUAAUCAGUUCAGAAAUCAUUAGUUUCUGAAAACAAAUUCCUUUUACUUUGAUCAGUUCUCAUGUUGCCCAUAAAGCUUUUCACUGGGAAGUGUCAAGUGAGCGGCAUCUCCAGGUAGUUCAGGGUUUCUUAUUUUCAUUUCCCUUUUUUAAGAAGCAGUUUCCAAUCUGUUAUUUUUCUUUAAAGUGGUUGCCAUCUUUCUUGGGCAGUCAUGUCUGUACAGUGGAGAGGUAGGGAACAGGAGCUCUUAAGCUGGAAUUAUUGUGAUGUGGGCCAGGAGCUGCCUUUGUCAGCUCUUCCAAGAAUUCUGUCCCUGCCUGCAGAUCUCCUGUUGUCUAGUGAGCGAUGAUUUGCACAGCUUUUGAUGAGGCCUGGAUUUACCAAGGGGAUUCUGCUGUGGAGUGAUGCACCAAGCCCGUUUCCAUUUGGUGGUCGCAGAUGCUGCUCUUACAGCUGUGAUUAACUUGAAGUUUGUUCUCUUGCAUAUCACAUCCUCUCUUUGCCCUAACCAACUUGCGGGUAGAGGGGGGUAGUUCCUUUCUUCCUUCCUCCCUUCACCCUGAAUCAGCAUUUUGUUGCUUAAGGCAUCAAGAUGAGUGGUGUACAGAUGUAUGACCUCUUGGGGGGUGUGGGGAUUAGCUUUCAGGGUCAAACAUCCUAUUUAUUUCUCAAAACAAGCAAAUUAUGUAGAAUUAUCAUUAAAACACAUCCUAAAGUUAUAAAAAUAUAGUAUAUAUCUUGGUCAAAGAAGAAUUACUGAACUGCAAAUUCAGGGGAAGAACAAGUGCUCUUUUCCUCAGAGUGACCCUGCAUAAGAGACCUGGAGAAGUGGGUGAAGGCUGGCGGUGAGAGGAGCACGUCUUAAAUCCUUCUCGUUUCCUGACUGCCAGUAGUAAUUGUUUGCAGUGUGUUCGUUUUUUUGUGGUGUUUGUUGUUUGUUAUUUUUGUUUUGCUUUGUUUUUCUCCUGUGGAUGUGUUACAAGCCUGUUGAUUAUUGACCUGAGAGUAGUCUUAGGCAUGUCAGUCUUUCCCAGGUGACCAAAAGACUAUAGAUGCACUGUGACUGCAGUGGCAUUACUGAGGUUAUUUUCUCCUGCCGUUUUCCAAGAUUGCAAUAUUUAAAUAGAACUAAUUGGCUGCUGCUGGUGUAACGUUAGAUAUCCACAUGGCACUUAACAUUUAGCAAGUUAGCUUAAGCCAGUGGCAUGGUGCUGGUGUCUGCUAGGAUAGCAGCCGAGAGCUGCUUCAUAGGAAUAUCUCAUUGUGUCCAGAAGAGGGCACUUGUACAUGCAUAUAAACAUCUUGCUAUGUUGAAAAACCUUUUGUUUCGCUCCUUUAGAAUGCAUAUUAGGAUAUCCAAAGCAAGAUGAGGUGUUGAUGUUGCUAGGUGAAAGCCUGGACAGGCUUCGAAAUAGCUGAAGGGGGAGAUUGUCCACUACAAUUCAGUUCAUCCUUGCAUUGUAAUGCUUCUGUAGUAUGAAAAUAUUGACUUAAAUUUACUUUUAUGUUCCUGUGCCUUAUGCUAGAGCAUUCAAGAGCAACCUCAUUUUCAAAUAUGAACAACACUGAACCGAAACUAAGUAGUGAAGCAAUCUGUAUGUUGCUGCACUGCUGAAAAAAGUUGCAGUAAUGAGGAUACAUUGAGAAAAAACAUUUAGUGGAACAGAGCUUUAGUUCUGUGGUAUGCUUGUUUUUGUUUUCUUUUUGCACAGUUCAGUUGUUCUAUGUGAGGCUGUUUAUCUCAGUUCUAUCUUGCCAUUAGGUAUUAUAAGCUGAUGUCAACUAUAAGCAUUACAUGUGUGUUUUAAAAGCUGCCGUCAGUUUUCUUUAGCACUCUGAUUAAAGUCGUAUUUAUUGUGAUUUACUGUGUCAGUUUUAACUUUCAGAAGUACAUGAAUACUGCAUAAAAAACAAAUCCUCUGAUAGUGCUUCAGUAUCUGGAGGAACACAAAUAACUAAAAUGAGUUCCUAUUCUGUUUGUAUCCACCUUCCACAGACCUCUGAUUGAAUUCUCCAGAUGGUAUUUUUUGUGGAAACUAAUCUUUGUGUUUUCCUUUAUGAAAGUAUGUGUGGCAUAGCACGUCCGCUCUCAUUUAUUCAUGCAAGGAUUGGAUUCUGAUGGUGUUAGCGGAGAUAUUUCCAGUGAAGCAGCACUUCAGGUGUCUGGUACUGACAACUUGCAGCAGUUUGCUGCACAGAGUAGAAUAAUGAAAAUCUGAAUGAGUACAUAAAAAAACAACCAACCAAAACAAAAAAACCCACCCAACAAAAACUUGUAUUUGAUCGGUGUCAAAUGAGAAUCCACUGCAUAUGGAUUUUCAUUUCUGUUAAACGUUAAGACAUGGCAAUAGGCUGUAUAUGUUGUUGUUAGUCCUUAUGGAAACCUUAGCAUUUUAUUUUUUUAAUUCUGUAAUCAAUCUAAUGAGUUAAAUGUUUGCCAUUGAAUUGUAAAAAGAGGGGAAAAAAAAACCAAACCACCAAACCAAACAACUUUACUCUUGCUUGUAAUUGUUUGAAAAAGUCUGGGGGAAAACCAGUGGCGAUACAUGCUGAACAUACUACUGUAAAACCUAAUGCUUGCGUUUUGGUACC